AAGGGAAGAGAAAAAGAAAGGAGGCCAUUUUUGGCUUGGGUGUCGUUGGCCAUAGAGAGAAGAGAGAGAGAGAGAGUGGCGAUUUAGAGAGAGAAAGGGCUGCCAUUUUCUAGAGAGAAGGAGGAAAGAAAGAAUGAGAAAGGAAAAGGGUUUCAAAGCUCUAAGACUUUAAGCAAGGAGGUGGUUCUAGUUGGGCUCUUGAUUUUCUAUCAAGAGAGGUAGCAAAUAGGUUUUUCUAUGGCACGCGUGGUGAUGUGGGGAGUUCUGUCGUCCUGGUGUGUAUGGCGUGGGGGCAUCCUAUGGACGAGAAACGAUCAGUUUUAAACGCCAUUUUCUUUUAAUAAUGUUAUGUUUAAUGGGACUUUUUUUUUAUUUAUCAGUAGGACUUGAACUUUUGAUUGUUUUAGAACUUUGCAUGAAAACUGAUAUUUUCUUUUUAAACUA